GCGAGAAAUCAAACUUCGAACAGGACAAGCCCGAAGCCCGCUUCUCCGGGAGACGGGGUGCCACAAUUGCAAGGACCCUUGCUCCACAGAAUUCUUUGCCUGGAAUUUUCUUCCCAGAAUCUUUGCAUGUCAUUCCCUCUGUUGCUGAGUUACCGGGAUCUCAAUGUAAACGUUACGUACUGACAGAGGCUGCUGUGAACUGAAUUGCGUGCUUCCCAAAAUUCAUAUGUUGAUACUGUCACCCCCGGUACCUAAGGAUGUGACUACAUUUGGAGAUAGCAUCAUCAAAGAGGAGUUCUGCAAUAAAAUGCCUGCUUUCUCCACCAGAUGGUAUUCACAAAAAUAGCUCACAUUAUGUUUUGCUUGUUUGCAAGUCAACAAGAUGAGGUCACCGAAAAGGUCUAACUGAUUCUGUCUGCUCAGGAAUGUUUCAGGCUUGGUCUCCCUUUUAAUUUACCUCGUAAAUCAUUUUGUAAUUUUUAUCUCCUACCCAUUCUGUAACUUGUUAAUUACUUUUAUACACAUGUAAUAUCUUUUAUGUGUGAUUUCUAAGUAUAUUACUAGUGAACAUUGACUGUUACAAGGCAUACCUUGUCUUAUUGCAAUUUAUUGUGCUUCCCAAGUGUUGGAUUUCUUACAAAUUGAGGGGUUUUGGCAACCUUACCUUCAGUGACUCUGUCAACAAUAUUUUUUCCAACACCAUGUGAUCUGUGUGUGUGUGUGUAUCUUUGUCAGCAUUUUUAUCAAUAAAGUACAUUUUUUAUUAAGGUAUAUACAUUGUUAUUGUAAACCUAGUCUGUUUCAGUCUUAUUCUACAGUACAGUGUAAAUAUCUCUUUUAUAUGCACUGAGAAACAAGAAAAGCUGUGUGACUCACAUUAUUGUGAUAUUUG
rnacentral:lncRNA from 1 species